ensembl:lncRNA
GGUGAAUUAAUCAGUGGGUGAAUCAGUUAAUGAAUCAGUGGAGUCAGUGAAUGAAUAAUGAAUUAAUAAUUGAAGGAGUCAAUGAAUGAAUCAAUUAAGCAGUCAGUGAAUGAAUGAAUGAAUCUUUUAGCUGAAUGAAGUGUAUGGUACACGUAAUAUCUCGUGUGUACUGGAGUGGUGUUUUUGAUGUUUCCACACAGUGAGGAAACUUUCAGCAAAUCAAUAUUCAAUAAAACCAUUUCCACAAAUCAAUAACAACGAGAGCCAUUUCCUGUCUCUUCAGCUAAUGUACUGUGUGCUUAUGUGCUGUGUAUCUGCCCAUCUGCUCCCUGUGUGUGUGUGUGUGUGUGUUUGUGCUCAGGUGAGUCCGUCCACCUGCACACAGUCGCACAGGUUUGUCGCACAUUAGUGCUGUAUGAUGGACGGCGCGAGUGUUUUCAUCACCAUUCAGAAGGUGUACUACCCGCUGCUGUGCAUUCUGGGUAUUCCAGCGAACCUCUUCACAUUCUACAUGUUGUGUUGGCGUGUGUGUGGAAUGUCGGACUCGGCACGCGUGUACCUGAG